ensembl:lncRNA
GUCGCUCACAAGCCACUGAUCAGUAGGCUGCAUGGGGUUGUAUCAAUCUAACUCAAGGAGUAUCCUAGAGAAGAAUCUAACUUCAGUCAUGUCGGGUUUGGUGUAUAUUAUAGCAGAUGGAGGAGAAACCCAGCCUGCUGCUCUCCUUCCACACUGAACCCAAACAAGAGUCACUGGAUUCUGUUAGUGACAGUAAAGCUCAGUGUUCAUUGGUGGAUUCAGAGAUGACAUCAGUGAAGCAGGAAGACUGCAGUCAAACACUGGGACUGAAUAAUAUUAAAUGUGAAGAGGAGGAGAAGAAUAUUGGGGAUGUAAUUAAUCAAGAGAUUCCUGGAGACGAGACAUCUCAACAACAGCAACACCCUGAAGAUAAGAACUGUGAUUCCUGGAUGGAGGAGAAACCCAACCUGCUGCUCUCCUUCCACACUGAACCCAAACAAGAGUCACUGGAUUCUGAUUGUGACAGUAAAGCUCAGUGUUCAUUGGUGGAUUCAGAGAUGACAUCAGUGAAGCAGGAAGACUGCAGUCAAACACUGGGACUGAAUAAUAUUAAAUGUGAAGAGAAGAUUGUGGAUUUUAUUAAACCAGGUAAGACGGGGCUCAGUAACGAUGAUAUUAAAUGUGAAGAGAAGAUUGUGGAUUUUAUUAAACCAGGUAAGACGGGGCUCAGUAACGAUGGUAUUAGAUGUGAAGAGGAGAUUGUGGAUUUUAUUAAACCAGGUAAGACGGGGCUCAGUAACGAUGGUAUUAGAUGUGAAGAGGAGAUUGUGGAUUUUAUUAAACCAGGUAAGACGGGGCUCAGUAACGAUGGUAUUAGAUGUGAAGAGAAGAUUGUGGAUUUUAUUAAACCAGGUAAGACGGGGCUCAGUAACGAUGGUAUUAGAUGUGAAGAGGAGAUUGUGGAUUUUAUUAAACCAGGUAAGACGGGGCUCAGUAACGAUGAUAUUAGAUGUGAAGAGAAGAUUGUGGAUUUUAUUAAACCAGGUAAGACGGGGCUCAGUAACGAUGGUAUUAGAUGUGAAGAGGAGAUUGUGGAUUUUAUUAAACCAGGUAAGACGGGGCUCAGUAACGAUGGUAUUAGAUGUGAAGAGGAGAUUGUGGAUUUUAUUAAACCAGGUAAGACGGGGCUCAGUAACGAUGGUAUUAGAUGUGAAGAGGAGAUUGUGGAUUUUAUUAAACCAGGUAAGACGGGGCUCAGUAACGAUGGUAUUAGAUGUGAAGAGGAGAUUGUGGAUUUUAUUAAACCAGGUAAGACGGGGCUCAGUAACGAUGCUCUGGGCAGUAAACAUUCUUCUGCAGAAAACGUGACGUUGAUCAUUAAAAUCGCAUUAUAAUAUUGACUUCCUCGAGUUUCGUAAUCUGGCACAUGUACAAAUAAUGACCUUUCAGCUCUUGGCACAUGCUGUUGGCCAGUCAAGAAUUGAGCAUUGAUGUGACGCUCAGUUGUCUGGUAUUGUUUUUAAUAAAACAUUUAAACUUGCGCGAGUCACUCAAGUGAAGAAGGCAGUGAAGGACAACUACGAGCUCAAAUUAAAGCAAACGUUUUUACCUCAGUGCAAUAAAUAAUUUACAUGUUUCGACUUCGAUGAAACUCAGAUGCACUGACGUCUGUCUUAAGUUCCCGGCUAGAGCGGACAAAGGCACUGACAACUUUCGCCAACAAUCCCUGACCAGCCAUGCCAAUAGCAGACAGCACCUGGCCAGCAUGACAGUCAAGCGGGUGGCUGGCAAUCCGUCUUCAGGGCCCUUGGUUUUAUCAGGAAUUUAAAUGCAGAUGCCCAUUGGGUGAUUGCAGACAUAACAACCACAUAUCUAGUAACUGAUGAACCAGCCGGUUGCCUUGCUUCCUGGGGUGAAUGAGUUAGUGUUUUGUUUGAAAGUCAAAUGCUUUUUUGACUUAUCUUUUUAUUCAUUUUCAUAAUUAGACGUAUGAAUGACAUCUAAUUCAGUCAGUUUUGCCCUGCACUUCUCUCUUUUUCCACAGUAUUGCUUUUGUGUGAGGUUAAUCAUUUAUUCUUAUCAAAAUAACAGAAUUUCAAGGUGAAAAUAUCUCCUUAUCAACUUGUGGGAGCAACCACUGUUUUUAGUUCUACUUCAU